UACGGAGGGGACUAGCGUUGUUCGGAAUUACUGGGCGUAAAGCGCACGUAGGCGGAUUUGUAAGUCAGGGGUGAAAUCCCGGGGCUCAACCUCGGAACUGCCUUUGAUACUGCAAAUCUCGAGUCCGGGAGAGGGAUGUGGAAUUCCAGGUGUAGCGGUGAAAUGCGUAGAUAUCUGGAGGAACACCGGUGGCGAAGGCGGCAUCCUGGACCGGUAUUGACGCUGAGGCGCGAAAGCGUGGGGAGCAAACAGG
rnacentral:rRNA from 1 species